GCUGUGUCCUCACUUGGCCAAAGGCAGAAGAGGGAGAGAGCAAGCUUCCAGAAUGCUGCGGGAAGCUUCUUUUUUUAGGACCUUUAUCCAGUUUAGGAAAGGAGGAGUCCACAUUGCCUAAUAACCUCUCAAAAACACCACCUCCUAAUACUAUCACAUUGGCAACACUUGAAUUCAGGAGGGGACACAUUCAAAUCAUGGCAGAGAGGUAAGUACAAUCAGUCUCUACUGGGAAAUUCAGACAAGA
rnacentral:lncRNA from 1 species